GGCCAGACUCCUACGGGAGGCAGCAGUGGGGAAUAUUGCACAAUGGGGGAAACCCUGAUGCAGCGACGCCGCGUGAGCGAAGAAGUACCUCGGUAUGUAAAGCUCUAUCAGCAGGGAAGAAGAUGACGGUACCUGACCAAGAAGCUCCGGCUAAAUACGUGCCAGCAGCCGCGGUAAUACGUAUGGAGCAAGCGUUAUCCGGAUUUACUGGGUGUAAAGGGAGCGCAGGCGGCCUUGCAAGUCUGAUGUGAAAGCCCGGGGCCCAACCCCGGGACUGCUCUUGGAACUGCGCGGCUGGAGUGCAGGAGGGGCAGGCGGAAUUCCUGGUGUAGCGGUGAAAUGCGUAGAUAUCAGGAGGAACACCAGUGGCGAAGGCGGCCUGCUGGACGACAACUGACGGUGAGGCGCGAAAGCGUGGGGAGCAAACAGGAUUAGAUACCCCGGUAC
rnacentral:rRNA from 1 species